CGAGAACAUUAAGAAAUUUGGAAGUCACGCGUUAAGUUGUUGCCGAUUUGGAUAUUAUCGAUUAAAUUUAUUCAACACCAACAUGCCCCGUGGAUGUGGACCUUCUGGCUCUUGCGGGCCAUGUCGGCCUUCAAGAAAGUCCGUCCCGCCCAAAAAGAAAACUGCUAAAAAAACCUCCGACAAGAAGGCCGUUAAAGGAACGUCCAAAACUGCAAAAAGUACAAGAGGAAAGGUUUCAACAAAAAAAAAUGUGUGUAAAAGUGGAGGUUGCGACUAUUCCAGUUACAGUUCUGACUAUUCGAGCGACUGCAGCGACUGUUGCGAUUCGUACACAGACAGUACUAGCUACACCGAUUCUAGCGACGAUUGUUGCCCUCCUAAAAGGAAUGUUAAAUCCGGUGGCUGUUGCAGACGCUAAACAACCGCAAAAUUCGAUGGACCAACACUUGCUAUGUUUAUAUUUUUUGUUUUUAUAUUGUGUUUAUUCUGUAUGGUUUCGCGCUAAGCUUUUUUAAAAAUUUGUUUACAUUGUCUUGAACAUUAAAUUAAAUACAUUUUUUAAUACAUUUUACGAGGGUAGAUUUUUUAUUGGUAAGGUAUGCUUUGACGUAUCUUCCAUAGCUCCCUGCAAAUCAAAGACGCAAAAGAUAUAUAACUGACAAAAAUUAGGAAAAUUAAAUAGUAGAACACCUUGAAACAAAAUAUUAUUCAGUAAAAAAAUAAUUUUCAUUUUUCACGUUUCGUAUUGAGUCUGCAAGCAUCUUCAUUAUGCUCUCUAGUAUUCUGUGCUAUGAAAGCAGGAACUAUUUUAAUCUUCUUUAUUUCGUUUCAGGAAAUGGUCAAACUCCAUGCCAUAUUUUGAAGGUCUUUUUUUUUCUUUACGCUUUUUUUGGCUACUGUUUCAUGAGGCAAUUCGUCCACCUUAUAACCAAGGCACCCGGUGGGAAUCGAACCCACAACCUUUUGUCGAGUUCGUUAUUCAUCCUUACUUUUACGACGUUGAU